AACGAACGCUGGCGGCAUGCCUAACACAUGCAAGUCGAACGAGACCUUAGGGUCUAGUUGCGCACGCGUGCGUCACGCGUGGGACCCUGGCCUUAGGUUUGGGUUUACUCUCCGUCGGGGGUGCUAAUACAGGGUAAUGUACUCUGAUAAAAGAUUUGUCGUCUUUGGAUGGGCAGGCGUUGUUUUAGCCAGUUGGUAGGGGAAGAGCCUACCAAGGCGACGAUCCAUAGCUGGUCUGAGAGGAUGAUCAGCCACACUGAGACUGCGACGCGGCCCAGACUCCUACGGGAGGCAGCAGUGCGGAAUAUUGCACUAUCGGCGAAAGCAAGAUGCAGCAAUGCCGCGAAAGUGAUUAAGUCCUUAGAGAUAUAAAGCUCUUUUACCCGCCACGAUAAUGACAGUACCGAGAGAAUAAGCACCGGCUAACUUCGUG
rnacentral:rRNA from 1 species